rnacentral:rRNA from 1 species
AGAGUUUGAUCCUGGCUCAGAGCGAACGCUGGCGGCAGGCCUAACACAUGCAAGUCGAGCGGCCGUAGCAAUACGGCAGCGGCAGACGGGAGAGUAACACGUGGGAACGCGCCCUUCGGUUCGGAAUAACUCAGGGAAACUUGGGCUAAUACCGGAUACGCCCUAACGGGGAAAGAUUUAUUGCCGAAGGAACGGCCCGCGUCCGAUUAGCUUGUUGGUGAGGUAACGGCUCACCAAGGCGACGAUCGGUAGCUGGUCUGAGAGGAUGACCAGCCUCACUGGGACUGAGACACGGCCCAGACUCCUACGGGAGGCAGCAGUGGGGAAUAUUGGACAAUGGGCGCAAGCCUGAUCCAGCCAUGCCGCGUGGGUGAUGAAGGCCCUAGGGUUGUAAAGCCCUUUCAGCGGGGAAGAUAAUGACGGUACCCGCAGAAGAAGCCCCGGCUAACUUCGUGCCAGCAGCCGCGGUA